UCCCCGAUUUCCGGGGCAGUCCCCCGAGAGUCCUCAGCGCCUUGCGGCCUGUUAGCAACACGGGACAUGUCAAGGGCUGGUAAGGUUCUUCGCGUUGCGUCGAAUUAAACCACAUGCUCCACCGCUUGUGCGGGCCCCCGUCAAUUCCUUUGAGUUUUAACCUUGCGGCCGUACUCCCCAGGCGGUGUGCUUACCGCGUUAGCUGCGACACCGAAGAGCUAGGCUCCCCAACGUCUAGCACACAUCGUUUACAGCGUGGACUAC
rnacentral:misc_RNA from 1 species